UACGUAGGGUGCGAGCGUUAAUCGGAAUUACUGGGCGUAAAGCGUGCGCAGGCGGUUUUGUAAGUCAGAUGUGAAAUCCCCGGGCUCAACCUGGGAAUGGCGGUGGAUACUGAGAAGCUGGAGUACGGUAGAGGAAGGUGGAAUUCCCGGUGUAGCGGUGAAAUGCGUAGAGAUCGGGAGGAACAUCAGUGGCGAAGGCGGCCUUCUGGACCAGUACUGACGCUGAGGCACGAAAGCGUAGGGAGCAAACAGG
rnacentral:rRNA from 1 species